rnacentral:pre_miRNA from 1 species
CGGGGGAGGCUGGAUCCUGGGCUGUGUCCCGGCGCCCUGUGCUCCGGGGCCUGCGCUGUUGGAUUCGCGCUCCCGCCCCGCAGCCCCCU